UUCAGAUUAGAGGAUGCUGCAGUGACCACCUCCCCCCAGUCCUAGACGAUCUGGAGGGAAGGAAGGACACAUGACUUUUCAAACACCAUCUGCUACAAGUGGAUGGCAGAGUCUACGAAGAAGAAACGAUAUGUGUUUAGAGGUGGGGGUGAGGAAGAAGCAGACUGAGAGCAGGCUGGAUCUUCUUACGCCAACUCAACACAGGAGGAAUCUGUCCCGUGAUUCAUGUGAUGUCGGCCUCUAGAGAAGAACACUGGUAAACGAAGCAGAUCUGCUGCCAGGGUGACACAGAGAGGGACAAGAUGUGGACUGACAAGGUGCCCGAAUAUAUAUUUUUCUGAACUAUGAUGAAUUUUUUUUUUUUUCCGCGGAGCCAGUAUUCUGACCACUGUCCCACGUUGACACUUUUAUUAUCUGUAGCUCAAUUUCAUGGAGCAGAUUUGGUUUUCUUUUCCGAUCGCAAGAUUCUUUCAAAACAAAUCAGCCUCACUCUCUGGUGGUAGCUUCGUUUUGUUCCUCUUCCUGGGAGGACGUUCCUUGAGGACAGAAUUCAUGUAGCUCUGUGUAGAAUAAAAUCAUUCAUUUUUUUUUUUCCCAUGAAGCCUCUUUUUUCAUUCCCCUUGCUUCCACAAAUAACCCAGGCCUUCUUCUUUUUUUUUUAUUAUGAGAAUAACAAAAGUAAAUAAAUAAAAGGUGAUAUUUAUUGAA